GACGAACCGUGCGAACGUUGUUCGGAAUCACUGGGCUUAAAGGGCGCGUAGGCGGGUGUGCAAGUCUGCGGUGAAAGCCUCCAGCUUAACUGGAGAAGUGCCGUGGAUACUGCUCAUCUUGAGGAGGGUAGGGGCAUCUGGAACGGUCGGUGGAGCGGUGAAAUGCGUUGAUAUCGACCGGAACUCCGGUGGCGAAGGCGAGGUGCUGGACCCUUUCUGACGCUGAGGCGCGAAAGCCAGGGGAGCGAACGGG
rnacentral:rRNA from 1 species